rnacentral:rRNA from 1 species
UACGAAGGGGGCUAGCGUUGCUCGGAAUCACUGGGCGUAAAGGGUGCGUAGGCGGUCUGUUGCGUCGGCUGUGAAAACCCGGGGCUCAACCCCGGGCCUGCAGCCGAUACGGGCAGACUAGAGUUCGGCAGGGGAGACUGGAAUUCCUGGUGUAGCGGUGAAAUGCGCAGAUAUCAGGAGGAACACCGGUGGCGAAGGCGGGUCUCUGGGCCGAUACUGACGCUGAGGAGCGAAAGCGUGGGGAGCGAACAGG